UGAGUAACCUGCCCUUAACUCUGGGAUAAGCCUGGGAAACUGGGUCUAAUACCGGAUAUGACUCCUCAUCGCAUGGUGGGGGGUGGAAAGCUUUAUUGUGGUUUUGGAUGGACUCGCGGCCUAUCAGCUUGUUGGUGAGGUAAUGGCUCACCAAGGCGACGACGGGUAGCCGGCCUGAGAGGGUGACCGGCCACACUGGGACUGAGACGCGGCCCAGACUCCGUACGGGAGCAG
rnacentral:rRNA from 1 species